UAAGAUUUUUUUUUAUUGUGAAAUAAAUAUCUUAUGCUAGGGCUUUAUACAUAUUUAAUCAAAAAAAGUAUUUUUUUUUUUAAAAGUAUUCCAGUUAUUUAAAUGCAUCAUCUUGGUAUUUAAAGUGCACUUUUUCUUUUUGGAAUUUUCAGUGUGAACACACUACUUCCACUAUUUUUUUAUCAAAAGUACAUACUUUGGGAUGCACUGCUUGAAAUAACUUGUAAUUUGUAAUUCAUGUAAAGAGUUAGAUGUAGGCAUGUUGUUGUUGGUCAAGCUAGGCACGCCUGUCACUGUAGGUGUAUGAAUAUGACAGAACUGCUCUCAUUGGGUUUUAAUGCGAGUAAACUGACAGCUGAACUUGUGUCCUGCGUGAAUGGGUUGACUGGUAACGUGUCUCAGGAGUACUUGAAGCUGUCGGAUGUUUAUAAGAUGUAUGGGAGUGACUGCCAUGACAUCCAGCUCGCCAACGCUUCCUCACACGGCCUCUCGCUUGCUCUUGACCCAGCUGUAACUGCCCCUCGUGAGGAGUAUGUGACCGUCGGCCAAUUAAACCAGAUCUAUGGGAUGCCGAAGGUGGAGUCUUCUCCUACCUCACCCAUCCAAUUACUUCAGUCUUCUCUCGCAGACUCCGCCUUCUCCUGCCUCCCCUCCCCUCACGGCUCCUCCCUCUCUCUCUCCUUCGAGGUGUGUCUCUCCUCCUGUCGUUUUAUUCCCGGUUAGGGCUGGGUAUUGCCAACGACAUGUAUCAUUCAGUCAUUGAACGAAUCUUUCAGUUGCUCAUUAACACUCUUCUCUUUCUCUCUCUGGCAUCCCACCGUUCCACCUCUCUUUCUCUCACUCUAUCUCUCUCUGUGCUUAUGGAUGUGCUGCUUGUGUUAAGCAUCAGUCGGACUGGGGCAGGCCUCAGAUGCCCGUUCUAGAUUUAGAGCGCUGGUACCAGGAGGUAAUGGCAGCUAGAGAUGCAAACCAUCUCUGCCCUCCUCCUCCCCUCCCGGCUAAAGCUUUCUCAUCACGCAAGCCUGCGCAGGUAACAGCCAAAAGCUCAGCUCUCUUUCACCCUUCUCUGCUCUUCCACAUUUUCACACUUCAUCUUCAUAUGCCUCAUUUACAAUAUAUUGAUGUGUCUAAGUAAGGUCGUUUUUGUGGGUGUUUUGUGUAAGUGCAAAUUCUUUUAUUUAUUUUUUGGCUCUUGACUGUUCAAGGUUUCAAGGUUUCCAUCUUCUGUGGUGUGAAGAACCAUUUAUAGCAGAUUCCUUUUGUUAAAGGAAUAGUGCACCAAAAAAUGAAAAUUCUGUUUGUAUUUAAUCUAUUACUAAUCCUCAUGUUGUUACAAUCCUGAAUUACUUUUUUCUUCAAUGGGACACAAAAGAAGUUGAGCAGAGUGUCCAGGCUGCUCUUUUCUGUCACAAUGAGAGUGGAUGAAGACACUGUCAAGCUUUAAAAAAGUAUAUACUAUGUAAUAUACAAAGUUUUGUCAUGAUAGGUUUUAACUCAGUCUAAUAUAAUUGCGUCAUUAUUCACAUAGCGAUUGGUUUCACAUCAGCAGCCAAUGAGCUUACUGCUCAACAUUCAAAUACUCGGCCAGUGGUUGCUGUAGCAGUUGCAAUACUUCAGAAACCCCUCUACUUCCCCAGCUCCAUCUGUCUUGAUCUGCUAAGGGGUGAUUCAAGUAUGUUAUAUAUGGGGGGUUAUUUCAUUCAUGUCAUAUGCGGAGCAGCAGUAUUUCUUGCGUGGUCACAGCAGCAUGUCUGGGGAUAUAUUGCCAAUAGCAAGUAUUAUUUUGCCACACCUUAAGCAAUGUAGCAGAUCUAUUCCUCCAAGAACAAAUACAUUAACAUUGUCAUGCACAUUACCAUGCUAAACUCUCUGAGAGUUGUCAUGACAAAACAUACAUUAGCUAUCUAUGAGGAAAAGACUGAAGUGAUUAUGUUUUAAAAUCUUGCUUGACAGACACAAUCUCCAAUCACCUUUUUCUGUAUGGAAAAGAGCAGCUUGAACAUUCUUCUAAGUAAAAGUAAAACUCUUUUGUGUGUCAUGAAAAAAAUGUCAAUCGGGUUUUAAAAGAUAUAAUAGUAAAUUAAUGAUGACAGAAUUUAUAUUUUUGAGCAAAAUGUUCUUUUAAACAAAUGUUUGUUAAUGGAUUGUAAGUGAAGUGUUAUAAACAAAACUUUUGGGGUUUUUGAAAUCUGUUGUGCUCACCAAUGCUGCAUUUAUUUGAUUAAAAUCAUAGUAAAAAAUAGAAUAUUGUGAAAUAUUUUGACAAUUUAAAAUAACUUUUACCUAUUUUAAUAUAUUUAAAAAAAUAUGCUUUAUUCCUGUGAUGCAAAGCCGAAUCAUUCAGCACCAUUAUUCCAGUUUUCAAUGUCACUUGAUGCUUCAGAAAUCAUUCUAAUAUGCUAAUUUGCUGCUCAAGAAAACUCAAAUUCAUCAAUAUGAAAUCAGAUGUGCUGAUUAAUAUUUAUGUGGAAACCAUGGUACAUUCUUUAAUGAAUAGAAAGUUCAAAAGAACAACAUUGAUCUGAAAUCUUUUAUAAGAUUAUAAAUAUCAUGACUGUCAGUUUGAAUCCUUUUACUGCAUCCUUCACAAAUAAAAUGUUUUAUUUUCAAAAAAAUUAAAAUAAAAUAAAAUUUAAAAAAUCCUACUUACCCCAAAGUUUUGAAUGCUAGUAUGCAAAAGCACCCUUAUAGUCUAAAAUCAAGAUACAAAGCAUAUAUUAUUAUCAUCACAAUUGCAAAAAUGUAUGGAACAUUAAUAAUUUAAUGUAAAGCAGUGUGUUCUAACAUUUAACAAUGUUGAUAGUAAAUUAAAAAAAAAAAGUUAAGAUUUAAUUCACUGAAGUUUACGUCAUUUAUUCAAAACAGCAAUUUGUAUGCUCUAAGUCAAACUUAAACCAUAUAAUGACUAUUUUGUCCUCUAAACUGUUAGUAUAUUAUUAUCAUCACAAUUGCAAAAAUGUAUGGAACAUUAAUAAUUUAAUGUAAAGCAGUGUGUUCUAACAUUUAACAAUGUUGAUGUAAUUAAAAAAAAAAGUUAAAGAUUUAAUUCACUGAAGUUUACGUCAUUUAUUCAAAACAGCAAUUUGUAUGCUCUAAGUCAAACUUAAACCAUAUAAUGACAUUUUGUCCUCUAAACUGUAGCUUUUAAAUCUUAUUUUCUCAUGCUCACAUUUAGACUUGUAUUGAGUAAAUUAAAGGGAUAGUUCACCCCAGAAUGAAAAUUCUGUUGUUUAUAGUCACCCUCAUGUUGUUCCAAACCUGUAAGACCAUUUGUUUAUCUUUGGAACACAAAUUAAGAUAUUUUUUGAUUAAAUCCGAGAGCUUUCUGACCCUGAAUAUACAGUAACACAACUGACACAUCCAAGGCCCAGAAAGGUAGUAAGAACUUCGUUAAAAUAGUCCAUGUGACAUCAGUGGUUC
rnacentral:lncRNA from 1 species